GACGAACGCUGGCGGCGUGCUUAACACAUGCAAGUCGAACGGAAAGGCCCUGCUUUUGUGGGGUGCUCGAGUGGCGAACGGGUGAGUAACACGUGAGUAACCUGCCCUUGACUUUGGGAUAACUUCAGGAAACUGGGGCUAAUACCGGAUAGGAGCUCCUGCUGCAUGGUGGGGGUUGGAAAGUUUCGGCGGUUGGGGAUGGACUCGCGGCUUAUCAGCUUGUUGGUGGGGUAGUGGCUUACCAAGGCUUUGACGGGUAGCCGGCCUGAGAGGGUGACCGGCCACAUUGGGACUGAGAUACGGCCCAGACUCCUACGGGAGGCAGCAGUGGGGAAUAUUGCACAAUGGGCGGAAGCCUGAUGCAGCAACGCCGCGUGCGGGAUGACGGCCUUCGGGUUGUAAACCGCUUUCGCCUGUGACGAAGCGUGAGUGACGGUAAUGGGUAAAGAAGCACCGGCUAACUACGUGCCAGCAGCCGCGGUGAUACGUAGGGUGCGAGCGUUGUCCGGAUUUAUUGGGCGUAAAGGGCUCGUAGGUGGUUGAUCGCGUCGGAAGUGUAAUCUUGGGGCUUAACCCUGAGCGUGCUUUCGAUACGGGUUGACUUGAGGAAGGUAGGGGAGAAUGGAAUUCCUGGUGGAGCGGUGGAAUGCGCAGAUAUCAGGAGGAACACCAGUGGCGAAGGCGGUUCUCUGGGCCUUUCCUGACGCUGAGGAGCGAAAGCGUGGGGAGCGAACAGGCUUAGAUACCCUGGUAGUCCACGCUGUAAACGGUGGGUACUAGGUGUGGGGUCCAUUCCACGGGUUCCGUGCCGUAGCUAACGCUUUAAGUACCCCGCCUGGGGAGUACGGCCGCAAGGCUAAAACUCAAAGGAAUUGACGGGGCCCCGCACAAGCGGCGGAGCAUGCGGAUUAAUUCGAUGCAACGCGUAGAGCCUUACCUGGGUUUGACAUGGAUCGGGAGUGCUCAGAGAUGGGUGUGCCUCUUUUGGGGUCGGUUCACAGGUGGUGCAUGGCUGUCGUCAGCUCGUGUCGUGAGAUGUUGGGUUAAGUCCCGCAACGAGCGCAACCCUUGUUCACUGUUGCCAGCACGUUAUGGUGGGGACUCAGUGGAGACCGCCGGGGUCAACUCGGAGGAAGGUGGGGAUGACGUCAAGUCAUCAUGCCCCUUAUGUCCAGGGCUUCACGCAUGCUACAAUGGCUGGUACAGAGAGUGGCGAGCCUGUGAGGGUGAGCGAAUCUCGGAAAGCCGGUCUCAGUUCGGAUUGGGGUCUGCAACUCGACCUCAUGAAGUCGGAGUCGCUAGUAAUCGCAGAUCAGCAACGCUGCGGUGAGUACGUUCCCGGGGCU
rnacentral:rRNA from 1 species